CAGCCUGAACAUUCCCAGCUCCCUCAGCCUCUCCUUGUGCUCCAGACCCUUCCCCAGCUCUGUUCCCUUCUCUGGGCUCUCUCCUGCCCCUCAAUGUCCCUCCUGAACUGAACAGCCCAGAACUGGACACAGCACUUGAGGUGUGGCCUCACCAGCACCCAGUACAGGGGGAGAGACAUUUAGUUUAAAACUAAGAGAUCCCAAGCCUGUUGUCUGGGAUCUCACAUUAACAAGCAGGGAUCCCGAGCUAAGAGCUGCCAUGACAAAUCCUUCCUUAAACAGCUGGACCAAGCUGUUGUUUGUAGGAGAAGGCUCCAGCCAUCACAGAUGCAGCUGGAUCUGCAAUAAUCAGACUGUACUGUGCAGUUUAUGAGCUGUAGGUCUUGGGUGAAGAAGUAACUGAAGAUAAAACCCCAGCAGGUGCUUUUGCUGGGGUUUUAAGCUGCCUUUGCCAGAUUUUAAUCAAUAUUAAUUAGGGCAUAAUUGAGAGAUACAGCAAAGCAGAGGUAAUCAUCUUAGUGUUCCUAAUCAACUUGUGCUUCGGCCUUGAAGGGGAAAUGAAAAGUGCCUUAACUUCUUUAACAGCUCACCAGAUUUUCUGCAUCAGAGGCCACUUUUACAGAACAGGUCACUACGAACGACCCAGUUCACUGAAGAUAGACUAUUUAACCUUACUUGACUCACUGGAAAUUAGGAAAAGCUCAUCAGCCCCACACACGCCAUUGUUCCUCUCCUGCAGCUGAAGAACUUCCUCAUCCACCACAUCUUGACAGAUCCACCACGGUCUUCCUGGGGCUGGUGGAGCUCACCCUCCUGUAAGAUGCAAAACCCCUUGCCAAGGGCUCAGAGCCGGGAUCCUUGUUGGAUUCAGCCCAGGCUGUGUUUAUGCACACCUCAGGAUCAGAGCAUGCUGUUGCCCAGGGCCCCAGUGCUGGUAUCACCCAAGCAGAUUCUUAAGUAUUUUUCCAUCAGAGAAAACCAGGAGGAGGCUGGGAAUAGUGUACAUCUAGGUCCCUAUGCACUCAAGAUUCCUUAGGAUGCACACACAAAUGCAAAACCCCGAAAGCCUCCAGGUUUUCCAGCCCAGAUAACAUUCAGAAAUCAGAGAAGAAUGCAAACAGAUGACAGAACUGCGUUAAUGAUGAUGUAAUUUUAUACCUGAUUUCUUCUUAUAAGAGACAACAUUAGUUAACACUUUCAUCAUCAAGGAAUAACAACAUUGUAUUACCUGGCACAUCCAAGCAUGGACUGAGCUCAAAACAAGGUUAUUUAUUUACUUUAGCUGUGCUUUCAAAAUUAAUGGGUCCAAAGAAAUGCAAGCAAGGGGUUUACAUUGGAUGGCAAUAAAAAAAACUGCCAGGUUUGUCAGAACAGUGUGGCUGUGUGCCGUGCCCUAAGAAUCUCAGUGACAAAGAAAUACAAGUGUGGAGCACUACCAGAGAUCAUAAUUCUCUGUAACUUUGAGGAGUGGAGGUGAUGCUGUGGUUUGAAAAGGCCCUGGGCUGAUGUCAUCUCCCACAUCCAAUCUGUGGGAUAUUUCUCAGCAUGAGGAGAAGGUGGCAGUGCCAGAGCUACAGCGGGACAAGCCCAUGCUGGGCGAGACAGUGUGAGCCACGGGGCUCCUGACAGCAGAACAAAAGCAAUGCAGGUAUUCCCUGGCACUGCACUGCUGUGCAGCAGCUGCUCUCCUGCAGCUUUGAGCCCUGAGAUUUUUGCCUUCAGGAUAUCAUCUCUUACAGUUGUGUCCUGGUUUGGCUGGAAGAGAGUUAAUUUUCCUCCCAGUAGCUGGUACAGUGCUGUGUUUUGGAUUCAGUAUGAGAACAACAACUAAACCAUCAGUGUGUUAAGCAGUGCUUACUCUAAAUCCAGGACUUUCCAGUGCCUCGUGCUCUGCCAGUGAGGAGCUGUGAGGGAGCAUGGCCAGGACAGCUGACCCAAGCUGGCCAAAGGGGUACUCCUCACCACAGAAUGUCAUGUCCAUAUGAACUGUCCAUACUGGCUGGGAGGGGCUGACCACUGCUCAGGGACAGGCUGGGCAGUGGUCAGUGGGUGGUGAGCAGCUGUACUCUGCAUCACUUGUCUCUCGUGGGGUUUAUGCAUCUCUUUUUUUCCUAUUAUUAUUGCUGUUAUUAUUUUUUACUUCAAGUAUUGAACUGUUCUAUCUCAA